rfam:Salmo salar isolate Sally breed double haploid chromosome ssa03, whole genome shotgun sequence.
UGAAUGCAGUUACUGUAAAUCGCUCUGGAUAAGAGCAUCUGCUAAAUGACUAAAA